rnacentral:lncRNA from 1 species
CACGUUCAAUUAUAAGUCCUCAGAAAUUUGUUUAAAAUCGUUGCAGCUGGGAGAUGUAAAAAACCUUAUGAAUGAGGAAAAUCGAAGUGAAUUAUACUUCACGGGGAAGUCUCUCAAUGAAAAAUGUGGUAAACAGGCCUGGAGGAAAAAAAGGAAACAGAUGCUGACUGAUAAGAAAUGCUUAUUUUAACAGGGAGACACCAGCAUGGAUGUGCUGGGGUUUAAAGAAGGACUCAGCAGAUCUGUUUUUUCUCUCUGCAGGUGGCUCGGCUUCAGUGAACUGAAAUAUCUUGAUCAAAAGAUAAAAUGCAUUUCACCUCCGAGAGUGAAAACAGCCUGGAUCCUCACCAUGUUUGAAGCUCUGGGUGGCCUUGACUUCUGCCGUGUGGACCAGUAACAGAAGCCAGUUGCAAAAAGAGAAGAAUGAAGUCAACAUACAGAGGCUGUCUUUUGCCAAGACCUUUCAUGCCAGAUGGGUCUUUGAAAUAAUGCAAAAGCAUCUGUUAUUCAGGUUUCUUUUUUUCUUCUUC